rnacentral:rRNA from 1 species
CCUACGGGAGGCUGCAGUGGGGAAUAUUGCGCAAUGGGGGCAACCCUGACGCAGCAACGCCGCGUGAUUGAAGAAGGCCUUCGGGUUGUAAAGAUCUUUAAUCGGGGACGAAUUUUGACGGUACCCGACGAAUACGCUCCGGCUAACUACGUGCCAGCCGCCGCGGUACUACGUAGGGAUCAAGCGUUAUCCGGAUGUACUGGGUGUACAGGGCGUGUAGGCGGGCAUGCAAGCCAGAAGUGAAAUCUGGGGGCUUAACCCCCAAACUGCUUUUGGUACUGCGUGGCUGGAGUGAUGGAGAGGCAGGCGGAAUGCCCAGUGUAGCGGUGAAAUGCGUAGAUAUUGGGAGGAACACCAGUGGCGAAGGCGGCCUGCUGGACAUUAACUGACGCUGAGGCGCGAAAGCGUGGGGAGCAAACAGGAUUAGAUACCCUUGUAGUC